CUCCGAGUGUGGGCUAAUACAAUACCUUGUAAAAGGGAAUAUGCCCGCCGUUCUCAGACGGUUAUUAGCUCUCGGAGUUUUUUUA
rnacentral:ncRNA from 1 species